rnacentral:rRNA from 1 species
AUUGAACGCUGGCGGCAUGCCUUACACAUGCAAGUCGAACGGCAGCACGGGGCAACCUGGUGGCGAGUGGCGAACGGGUGAGUAAUGCAUCGGAACGUACCUUUCAGUGGGGGAUAACGUAGCGAAAGUUACGCUAAUACCGCAUAUUCUGUGAGCAGGCAAGCAGGGGAUCGAAAGACCUUGCGCUGAUUGAGCGGCCGGUGUCAGAUUAGCUAGUUGGUGAGGUAAAGGCUAACCAAGGCGACGAUCUGUAGCGGGUCUGAGAGGAUGAUCCGCCACACUGGAACUGAGACACGGUCCAGACUCCUACGGGAGGCAGCAGUGGGGAAUUUUGGACAAUGGGGGCAACCCUGAUCCAGCCAUGCCGCGUGAGUGAGGAAGGCCUUCGGGUUGUAAAGCUCUUUCGGCCGGGAAGAAAUCGCACGGGCUAAUACCCUGUGUGGAUGACGGUACCGGAAUAAGAAGCACCGGCUAACUACGUGCCAGCCGCCGCAGUAAGAC